rnacentral:rRNA from 1 species
GACGAACGCUGGCGGCGCGCUUAACACAUGCAAGUCGAGCGAGAACCAGGGCUUCGGCCCUGGGGACAGCGGCGAACGGGUGAGUAUCACGUGGAUAACCUGCCCUCGGCACCGGAAUAGCCCGGGGAAACUCGGAUUAAUGCCGGAUAGCCCCACAGCCCCUCGGGGCGGUGGGAAAAGGUAGCUUCGGCCUCUGGCCGAGGAUGGGUCCGCGGCGGAUUAGCUUGUUGGCGGGGUAAUGGCCCACCAAGGCGACGAUCCGUAGCUGGUCUGAGAGGACGAUCAGCCACACUGGGACUGAGACACGGCCCAGACUCCUACGGGAGGCAGCAGUGGGGAAUCUUGCGCAAUGGGCGAAAGCCUGACGCAGCGACGCCGCGUGCGGGAAGAAGGCCUUAGGGUUGUAAACCGCUUUCAGGAGGGACGAAGCCACUCGGGUGAACAGCCCAGAGGGUGACGGUACCUCCAGAAGAAGCCCCGGCUAACUACGUGCCAGCCGCCGCGGUAAUAC